rnacentral:rRNA from 1 species
GACGAAUGCUGGCUGCGUGCUUAACACAUGCAAGUCGAACGGUGAAGGGGAGCUUGCUCCCCGGAUCAGUGGCGAACGGGUGAGUAACACGUGGGCAACCUGCCCCUCACUCUGGGAUAACUCCGGGAAACCGGGGCUAAUACCGGAUACGACCGGGAGCGACAUCGCUCCUGGUGGAAAGAACUUCGGUGAGGGAUGGGCCCGCGGCCUAUCAGCUAGUUGGUGGGGUAACGGCCCACCAAGGCGACGACGGGUAGCCGGCCUGAGAGGGCGACCGGCCCAACUGGGACUGAGAGACGGCCCAGAGUCCUACGGGGGGCAGCAGGGGGAAAUAUUGCGCAAUGGGCGAAAGCCUGACGCAGCGACGCAGCGUGGGGGACGAAGGCCUUCGGGUUGUAAACCUCUUUCAGCGGGGACGAAGCGAAAGUGACGGUACCCGCAGAAGAAGCACCGGCUAACUACGUGCCAGCAGCCGCCGUAA